UUUCCGUAGGUGAACCUGCGGAAGGAUCAUUAUUGAAUGAAACACUUCUGGCUUUAUGCUGUUGUGCUGGCCCUUUGGGCAAUGUGCACACGGCUCUGGUCACUUGUUUCUUCUGUUCCACCUGUGCACUGCCUGUAGACACGCUGUAUCUAUGAUAUUUGUUAACACACAACAAUGUUAGUUGGCAUGUUAUAUAUAAUAAUAAAAUAUACAACUUUCAACAACGGAUCUCUUGGCUCUC
rnacentral:misc_RNA from 1 species